GAUGAACGCUGGCGGCGUGCCUAAUACAUGCAAGUCGAGCGAACAGACGAGGAGCUUGCUCCUUUGACGUUAGCGGCGGACGGGUGAGUAACACGUGGGUAACCUACCUAUAAGACUGGGAUAACUUCGGGAAACCGGAGCUAAUACCGGAUAAUAUUUCGAACCGCAUGGUUCGAUAGUGAAAGAUGGCUUUGCUAUCACUUAUAGAUGGACCUGCGCCGUAUUAGCUAGUUGGUAAGGUAACGGCUUACCAAGGCAACGAUACGUAGCCGACCUGAGAGGGUGAUCGGCCACACUGGAACUGAGACACGGUCCAGACUCCUAAGGGAGGCAGCAGUAGGGAAUCUUCCGCAAUGGGCGAAAGCCUGACGGAGCAACGCCGCGUGAGUGAUGAAGGUCUUCGGAUCGUAAAACUCUGUUAUUAGGGAAGAACAAACGUGUAAGUAACUGUGCACGUCUUGACGGUACCUAAUCAGAAAGCCACGGCUAACUACGUG
rnacentral:rRNA from 1 species